UGCGAUCAAAUUUAUAGGUGUAUUCAUUGUUUCUCCUCUUAACUAUGUAGAUGGAACAAGGAUCACACAUAUUACUGCUGACUGUGAUGAGAAAGGGAGCUUGGAGGAGGGCAUCAUAGAGCUGAUGCCACCUCAGCAGACAAAGAACACGAGAACGACGAGGUGAGCCGGUACUCUGCAGGAGCCGGACCAUGGGGAGGUUCUAAUUUUAAGAAAUCUUGGUUGCUAGCAUAUGUAAGGUUUGAAGUAUGGAUUGAGAAAAUAAACAUCUAAAUGCCAAGUAAUUUGUCUGAGAAUUUGACACACUGUGGUUUAGGAAUCCAGUACUGUUUUCUUCAUCCUACUAUCUUGAGUUUGUUGUGGAGGAAGUAUUGACUUUCUUUCUAAAUGGACAAGAAGCAGUGUGAUCAUAAUGCAUUA